GGGCGUAUGGUGUAGUGGUAUCACUCAUGCUUUGCAUGGCGCGUGCGCACCCACGGCACGUAAAACGAUGUAUGCGGUCCAGGGUUCAAACCCCUGUGCGUCCA